rnacentral:piRNA from 1 species
UCUUGACUUUCAUUUUGACUACACUUUUG